rnacentral:tRNA from 1 species
GGCCCUGUAGCUCAAUGGUUAGAGCCGGCCGCACAUAACGGUCUGGUUGCAGGUUCGAGUCCUGCCGGGCCCA